UACAGAGGUCCCAAGCGUUAUCCGGAUUCACUGGGUUUAAAGGGUGCGUAGGUGGGCAGGUAAGUCAGUGGUGAAAUCUCCGGGCUUAACCCGGAAACUGCCAUUGAUACUAUCAGUCUUGAAUACCGUGGAGGUAAGCGGAAUAUGUCAUGUAGCGGUGAAAUGCUUAGAUAUGACAUAGAACACCAAUUGCGAAGGCAGCUUACUACCCGAAUAUUGACACUGAGGCACGAAAGCGUGGGGAUCAAACAGG
rnacentral:rRNA from 1 species